rnacentral:misc_RNA from 1 species
AACUGAUACUACCUGCGGGAACCUGCGGAGGGAUCAUUACAGGAUGAUAAGAGGCGGUUGUAGCUGGCCAUCAAGCAUGUGCACGCCGUCUCGAAUUCUAAUCCACAUACACUUGUGCACCUUGGACGGAGUGUUAACACACCCGUCUGCUCUUUCAAUAUAUCCUGUUAGUAACGCAUGUUGUUUGAAUAAUCGUAAUAAAACAUAACUUUUAGCAACGGAUCUCUAGAUCGGAAGAGC